GUAAACCAACCAGCCGGUUGUGCGCGCUCGCUCACCAGCAAGUUGAGCGUGUGCACGAGCAAAGGUGCCGCGGGGGUGGACUUUUUAGGAGGCGUAACUGGUGUUCGAAUUUUUCAGGCGUCAGGUUCUUCUGCCUCCCCAGAAGUUUUCGGGUGUUUUUGUAGUUUCAUUAUGUACGUUACGAAGCAAGCUUCUCUUCUUUUUGGUACACUGAGCUGCUCCCUGUUUCCGGAAACGGAGGGCAGACGCAGGACUAUUUGGAAGCGUAACUAAAGUGCUCUAUCGGUGGAGGUAUUUAAGGUGCUCUGGAUAUCCGAAAGAUGCUGAAGUUUGGCGUCUUCUAUUUCUGAUUCUUAUACUGCUUACUAAUAUGUAGACUGUUCAUGUAAAUUCGUGUUUUUCCAUGACAAAAAGAAGACAGACUCGCUGGUUCCUGCAACCGGUCUUCCGGAAAAACAUCGUUUACCGGCAUGACGUCGUCGAAGAGACUUCGAUUACCAAUUACGCAUGUGCGCUCCGACUAUUUGCAGCUGGGGGAAUAAAAAAUGGGAACGCGGUCAUACAUCGAGUCCGAUCCGGAUGAAUGUAAUCGCGCCAGUAUAAGUCGACAAUGAGCGCAGUUAGCGUACACGGUGUAUCAGGUACAUAAGCGGAAACGAAGACAGAGUCGAAGACAAACGGCGAAUAGCGAGAAAGAGAGAAGAAAGGGAGAAAGACGCGUAACGGCGGCGUCGUCGGCGUUACAUUAUAUAAUGACACAGAACGGAUUAAUCCUAGCGGCGGCGUCGCGGCGGCAACUCGGCCAGCAUAAUAGAUAUGCUCUUUCUUUGUUUCGUCCGCUCAUAAUGGCCGCGCCUCGCAAGAAAACGCGGAACACGGAGCAUUAUGCACUCCGCCGAGACGAACGAGAAUAAACCGAGUCUGAAUAGCUUUCUGAGUUUGUUUCCUUUCCUAUUCCCCCACCGUUCCUUUCUUUCUUUUCUCUCCUUUCUCAGCGUUCUUUCUUUUCUUUUCUCCUCUGUCCCGCACUCCACCUUUCUUCUUCCACCCACCCCCUUUCACUAUCCUCCAUUUUACGGAAGAUGCACAGCAGCUUGAUUUCGUAUUUGCGAUCUCUGUUUGGUUUGACCGAUAAGUUUUUGAAAUUGGGGUAGACUGAUCUUUCGUUUGUCUGAAGUUGUGCCUGGUGAGUAAUUGCGGAGAUAUUCGAUGCUAUUGGUUUGAUUUGGCACGUUUGAUCUAUUUAUAUCUGUCAUGCAAUAGGUAGAAAACCUGCAGACAGAUUCCAAACACGAUCCAAAUCAGUGAGUUUUUUGGAUACACUGGUAGAAUUUUCGUACCAUUUUUAUUUCGUAAUUGUAUGAUAAAUACCUGUAUCAUUAAUGUAGGUAUUAGAUAUAUGAGUAUUUAAAAAAGUAUUCUUUGUGUCAGUAGUUUCUUAAUAAGUUUCUUGGUCUGUGUACCCAUGGAAAAUAUAUAAGAUAGAAUUACUAACAAGAGAAAAUAACGAAAUUCCUUAUCGGUAGAUUCACCUGUGCCGAAUAUGCGUAAAAUAGAUGCACAUUAGUACAUCGAGGGAUAAAUUGUACAACGGUAACGUUCUAAAGACGAAAAUACGCUAGAAAGAAUAUAAAGGAAAUAAAUAAAGGAUCGAAGUGGUCCCACUCUGAACAUUCUGUUGCUUAGCACGCGUGCUUUUAUACGGAUCUACGGUUCAAAGAAGAUUCUUCUUAACGACCGUAUCAAUUCGCAUUUUCUCCCAUUCACGCAGCUCCUAAUCCUCGGCACAGCGUGCCGGGUCCUGCUCCAGGACUUUUAUGCCUAGUCCCAUCGCGAGCUAUAUCUACGACAACCGACAUAAAUCGUUGCGCGCGUCGACUUACUUCCAAACGACCCUUGCGGCUCUGGAAUCACUGGCGAAAUGUGUCGCGUUCUUUUUAGGAAUGAUAUCAAAUGGAAAAAAUAGUUUCGAUAGUGUAGUUAAAAUAAGUAGCGGGAGGUUUCAUGUGAAUUGCAGAAAUUUGUAAAAAAUAAAAAUUA